AAGGACUGGCAAGGUGCACAGAUGAGGUGGGAGGACCAGAGCCAGGACGUCUGAACCUGGCCUUUGGGUUUAGACAGGAACUACACCAGCUCUCCCACAUCUCCAGGUUACAGACAGCAGAUCCUGUGCUUCUCAGCCUCCAUGAUCACGUGGACUUCUGCAUUCUGGCAAAUGAAUGACUGCACCUGACCCGUGACUCAUGACUCAACUAGUCCUGUGGACCCCGCCUUGAGGUGGACUCAGUGCACCAGGACCAUUUUCCACACCCCUACAAUUUCAUCCCCAACCAAUCAGCAGCACUCAUUCCCUAGCCUGCUGUUCACCAAAUUAGCCAUGAAACCCCUACCUAGACUAGCCUCUGAGUUCUGAGAGAGGCUGAUUUGAGUAAUAAAGUAAUAAACUCCUGUUCUGCUUGGCUAGCCCUGUUUAUUAAACUUGUUCUCUACUGCAAUACCGCUGUCUCAGUGAACUGAUUUUAUCUCUGCAGUGGUCAAGAAGG
rnacentral:lncRNA from 1 species